rnacentral:lncRNA from 1 species
AAGAAGAAAAGAGGUGGGCGACGGAGGAGAGGUGUCGGACCAGUUGAGUACUGUAGUAAGAAAGGGUGGCGAUAGUCAAAUUGGCGGUGGAGCAGUGGAGAAGAGAAAAGUUGCUUGAGAUUUUUCAAUCGAUGGAGCUUUGGGGGCUUAAGGCAAAUUACUCUUUAGUGACUUUAGUGGAGAGUUAUCAGUUAUUCCUUACUUUUCUUAUUUUAGACAUGUAUUCGGCCCGACCCAUUUAGAAAACGAACCUCGUUUGUUCUCCAAGCACAUAUUUUGGGUCCAUAUUUUUGUCCAAACCCUCUUAUUUUUCGGGUGAGCGGCCUAUGGAUAACUCUAGUAUCUACCCAAAGGAGAAGUAAGAUAUAUUUGGAUUAUUUAACUGAAUUCAUGAAGUAAAUAUAUUUUGAGCAUUUAUGAAUUGUUUUGCUUUUAUGUAUUAUUUACAACUACUUCUCUUCAUUUGCAAGUUUCAUCUGUUGAAUUAAUUAUGAAUUGUUUCGAC